GCAAACUUGGUCAUUUAGAGGAAGUAAAAGUCGUAACAAGGUUUCCGUAGGUGAACCUGCGGAAGGAUCAUUAAAAGAAGCUGGGCGCUCGCGCCCGACCUUCUCACCACUGCGUACGAAAUUCAGUUGCCUCGGCCGCUCGUCGGCCGAAGGAAAGCCAAACCAACUCGUUUGAAUACCGUCACGAAACAUCGCGAAUGCGAAAGUACAACUUUUAACAAUGGAUCUCUUGGCUCCGGCAUCGAUGAAGAACGCAGC
rnacentral:misc_RNA from 1 species